GUCCUAGUAGUAUAAACAUUACAUUGGUCUUGUAAACCAAAAAUGAAGAAUAACCCCUUCCUAAGACU
rnacentral:tRNA from 1 species